rnacentral:lncRNA from 1 species
GUGUACAAACUAUUUUGGGGAUUCUUAAAGUCUCAUGAAUGUUUAAGCAUGGAAAGGAACAUUCUCCACUCCUGUAACAUAAUUAAUGCUCUAAGCUUAUAUACCUAAUAAAUAAAACUUAGAAAAUCAGUUUUUUUAGGCAUUUAAAAUUGAUUCUAAACAACUGAAAUGUCUUCAAUAAUUUAAAUUUUAAUCACAAAUGUAAUAUAAUAUGAAGGAUUACUUAGAGUAUUUCACAUGUCUUAAACAGCAGUG